GUCUGUAUCACGUUGAAACACCGCUUCCCGUAUAAUCACUGAAGUUAAGCAACGUCGAGCCUGGCCGUUACCAAGAUGAGGGAUCGUUUGGAAAUACUAGGUGUUGUUG